GCGAGCCACGGGCCUCGCUGCGGGUUCAAGUGCGUCCGGGUUUGGACGUCGCGGCUCCAGGAGUGUGCUCUCUCUCCUGCCCAUCCCCUCCCCGGAGUUCAGCGCAUCCGGGGCCCCGGGGACCCCUCUUCCCGGCCCUCCUGGCCGCGCUGGCCCGCCCGCAUGGGGCCGAGGUUCCUGGCCGACGCGCGAGGGCGCGGGCGGGUACCGGGUUCCCGUUUUUCCCAGGCCCCGAUCCCCGCCCACGCACGAGGCCCCCGGCCCACGCACGAGGCGCCCACGCCCAUCGUGGAGGCUCCGCCUGGAAAAGAAGUCCGACUUCCUCUCCAAGCUGCUCCGAGGGGAAUGGGGAAUCGGCAGGAAAUGACCCGAACUGCCAGCCUGCGCCUUUGCAGCCGGCCCUCGCUUUGCUGAAGACGAGCAGCUCCCACCAAAGUCUUGCCUCCCCUUACCCCGAAAGCCCCGCUCAGUUCAAUAUUUCAAGUGAAAAUCUGCCUGUUCGAAAAGAAAAUAUUCACAAAUGAGCAGUGUAUUAGAAGACAACUGAAUUGCUUCUAAGAAUGGGUCUCACUCUGCCAUCACCCAGGCUGGAGUGUGGUGGCACCAUCAUGGCUCACUGCAGCCUUGAACUCCUGAGCUCAAGUCAUCCUCCCACCUCAGCCUUCCGAGUAGCUGGAACUGCAGGUGUGAGCCACCAUGCCUGGCUGAUUUGUCUUUUUAAAUUUUUUAUAGAGACCGAGUCUCAACUAUAUUGUCCAGGCUGGAAAAGAACUUCUUUCCCUCCAAGUGAUAACCUUUUCCAGACAAGUCAGCUUAAAAACUGACCCAAAGGCCCUGAAGUACACAGUUUUCUUGGAGAAAGAAAAAAAUAAGUGAAAAGGACUUGCUGACUUGCUAAUUCAUUUUGGGGCCUGUGGGUAACAUCAGAAUGGCAAAGCACUUGGGGCUUUUUUCUAAUUUGUAUUUUUUUAAUCUUCUGAGAAAUGACUUUUAUAUGCCAAGAUUCAUUCCAUGAUUAGUUUUUAUGACCAAGUUAUGAACGCUUUUGAAUAUGGGGACCUAGAAUAGAAAUGCUAACCUACCUGCAAGGAGAGCUCUGUGAUUGGCAUCCCCAUCAUGCUGUAACUGACACAAAAUAAACUUAGGGUAAUUGCCGCAUAGUGUAACUUUAAUGUGUGAGCAUACUGUAACAUCUGACAAGCUUCUUGAUCUAGAUCAGCAAUGUGUAACCCAUUCAUUGUUGUCACUCUCAACAAGGCCUUAUGGUCAAACAUCAUCACUCUCACUAAAGAGAUAGUUUACUGAAAUAUACUGAGAUUUUGAAACUGGAGUCAAGAGGUAGCACACUGUUUUAUGUUGAUCCAUUUAAUGGUCCUUGACAGCCAAUAAAAAGACACUGGAAGAAUACGUGAAUGCAGUAAUUG
rnacentral:lncRNA from 1 species